rnacentral:rRNA from 1 species
AGAACGAACGCUGGCGGCAGGCCUCAAACAUGCAAGUCUAGGGGAUGUAGCAAUACAUCACCGGCGGACGGGUGCGUAACACGUGGGAAUAUACCUUUCGGUACGGAACAACUGCGGGAAACUGCAGCUAAUACCGUAUACGUCCUUACGGAGAAAGAUUUAUCGCCGAAGGAUUAGCCCGCGUUCGAUUAGCUAGUUGGUGAGGUAAUGGCUCACCAAGGCGACGAUCGAUAGCUGUUCUGAGAGGAAGAUCAGCCACACUGGGACUGAGACACGGCCCAGACUCCUACGGGAGGCAGCAGUUGGGAAUCUUGGACAAUGGGGGAAACCCUGAUCCAGCCAUGCCGCGUGAGUGAUGAAGGCCUUCGGGUUGUAAAGCUCUUUUACCCGGGAAGAUAAUGACUGGUACCGGGAGAAUAAGCUCCGGCUAACUUCGUGCCAGCAGCCGC